CAAUAGCGUAUAUUAAAGUUGUUGCAGUUAAAAGCUCGUAGUUGGAUUUCUGGGAGGGUGCCAAUGUCCGUCGUCGUACGUGUUGCAGCGGCGCCCUUCCAUCCUUCUGUUAACGACUUUGGGCAUUCAUUUGCCGGAGUCGGGCUCAGAUAUUUUACCUUGAGAAAAUUAGAGUGUUUCAGGCAGGCUAGGCCGGAAUACAUUAGCAUGGAAUAAUGGAAUAGGACUACGGUCUCUUUGUUGGUUUUGAGGGACUGCAGUAAUGAUUAAGUAGGAUAGGUGGGGCAUUAGUAUUUAAUUGUCAGAGGUGGAAUUCUCGGUAUUUAGUUAAAGACUUAAACUUAUGACGAAAGCUAUUUGCCGAAGGAUUGUUUUCAAUUAAUCAAAGAAACGAAAGGUUAGGGGAUACAAAGAUGAUCAGA
rnacentral:rRNA from 1 species